rnacentral:lncRNA from 1 species
CCCGCCUCGGGGACGCGCGCCCAGGGCUGCAGGUGCCCGGAGCCCCUCGGCGGGAAGCGGGCGCUGGAAGCCCAGGACCCAAAGCGGGGCUUCGGGGCACGCAAACGAGCGACAUUGGCGUGUCCAGCCGGCAGGUCAGAGGAUAGCAGAGACGUAGGGAGGUCAGCUGAGUAGGGGGCGAGAGGAUGGUCUCCGGAGCCAGCCUGGCUUUUUUUUUUUUUUCAUUUCUGCCUCAACUACUUACCAGGUGUCAGCCCUUGGACACUUUUCCCUGUGCCUCAGUUUCUUCAUCUGUAAAGUGGAAUGAUAAUAGGACCUGCCUCAUGGGGCUGUCCUGGAACAAGCGAGUGCUUGGUACUGGUGAAAACUGACACGAAGAAACUGAAUGCUGCGCCCAAUAUCUCACAGAAGGGGUGGAAGGAGGAGGCAGGGUCACAGGCUCUUUGCUAGCACCCAAACUUUGAGAACUGUGACUCAGAUUAGGUUUGGUCUCUAAGGCUCCUUCUAGCUCUCAAGUGUGGUAAUCUUAACGACA